CGAACGCUGGCGGCAGGCUUAACACAUGCAAGUCGAGCGGGCAUAGCAAUAUGUCAGCGGCAGACGGGUGAGUAACGCGUGGGAACGUACCUUUUGGUUCGGAACAACUGAGGGAAACUUCAGCUAAUACCGGAUAAGCCCUUACGGGGAAAGAUUUAUCGCCGAAAGAUCGGCCCGCGUCUGAUUAGCUAGUUGGUGAGGUAAUGGCUCACCAAGGCGACGAUCAGUAGCUGGUCUGAGAGGAUGAUCAGCCACAUUGGGACUGAGACACGGCCCAAACGCGAGCGGGAGGAGGGGGGGGGGAUAAGAGGCGGCUGGGCAGAGCCCGGGACAGGCCAGGCGGGGUGGGGGAAGGGGGCGCUGUGGGUGGAAAGGUCGUGUGGGCGGGAAAAUCGGGACGGCCCAGCAAGAAUACGCGCCGACUAGCUGCGGCGCAGCAGCGGGGGGAAUAAGCGGAGGAGCGAACGUCAGGAC
rnacentral:rRNA from 1 species